rnacentral:rRNA from 1 species
AGUGAACGCUGGCGGCGUGCUUAACACAUGCAAGUCGAACGAGAACGGGAUAUAGCUUGCUAUAUUUGUCAGCUAAGUGGCGCACGGGGGAGUAAUGUAUAGAUAACCUGCCCUCUAGACAGGAAUAACAGAUGGAAACGACUGAUAAUGCCCUAUAUGCCUUUAAUACAUAAGUAUGCAAGGGAAACGCUUUAGUGCUAGAGGAUGGGUCUGUAUGGUAUCAGCUUGUUGGUGAGGUAAUGGCUCACCAAGGCGAUGACGCCUAACUGGUUUGAGAGGAUGAUCAGUCACACUGGAACUGGGACACGGUCCAGACUCCUACGGGAGGCAGCAGUGGGGAAUAUUGCACAAUGGACGAAAGUCUGAUGCAGCAACGCCGCGUGGAGGAUGACACAUUUCGGUGCGUAAACUCCUUUUAUAUAGGAAGAUAAUGACGGUACUAUAUGAAUAAGCACCGGCUAACUCCGUGCCAGCAGCCGCCGUAA